UCAAUUGUGUCACUGUAGAGGUCAUCCAUCUCUACUGCUCACACGAUGUUGUAGCAUAAGAUGAUUAUGUGUGCAAGAUUAGGCUUCUUCUUAAGAAUUUCAGGUCAUGGACUAAUAGGUGAAUGAGUUGGUACCUGGAACUCAAACUGUUAGGUGACUUGCUUGGCUCAAUUUUCUUGUGCAGACACUUCUUGUGAUUAUGUGGCAAGUGGAGAUGCAAUUGGCGG
rnacentral:lncRNA from 1 species